rnacentral:rRNA from 1 species
UACGAAGGGGCUAGCGUUGUUCGGAAUUACUGGGCGUAAAGCGCGCGCAGGCGGUCCUUUAAGUCGGGGGUGAAAGCCCAGAGCUCAACUCUGGAACUGCCUUCGAAACUAGAGGACUUGGGUACGGGAGAGGUGAGUGGAAUUCCGAGUGUAGAGGUGAAAUUCGUAGAUAUUCGGAAGAACACCAGUGGCGAAGGCGGCUCACUGGCCCGUUACCGACGCUCAGGCGCGACAGCGUGGGGAGCAAACAGG